AUUUAAAUCAUGGCUGUCAAUUAAGAAUGGGAAUUAGUUGUAAUUCUGGGCCCCGGAGAAUAUUUGGAGUCACGUCCACUCUUGCUGCCAAGGACCGACCACUUUACUACGUGGAAGUGCCGUUAAGGUAUAGCUUUAAUCCAGCUUAACUGUGCCCGCGAGGUUCUGCAAGCAUUCUAAACAAACCGUUAUUUGGAAUCGUGUCAAAUUCCAUUUUCAGAAAGUGAAUAAUUAACUUUCUAACUACCGUUUCUUUUCUAUUUGUCGAGGCUUUUCCUUGGAGGCACUUCGCUAUAUGAGUAACAAGAUGCAGUCGGAAAUCUUGGUAGUGAAUUCAAACUGAAAUAGAAACUUUUCAUGUCGUUGUCAAGGGAGGAUGGUUGAUUCUUAUUUGAUUUGUUAACUAUAAUGGUAGCCAUCACUGGAUUCAUUAGAUUGGCGAAUUUUUGAAAAAUGAGAAUAUUUGUUCAAUGAUUAUCUAUCCACAUCUCAGAACUUAAACAUUACAUAAUGAAAUUAUCUGACGUGCGAGUAGACAAUUGCCCAUUUCUUCACGUGAGACCCAUUCAUACAUCAUAUCCAGGGCUUGAUAGCAGUGCUUCAACAGGAAAAGAAAUGCCACAACUGAGAUUCCUGAUCUGACCUUGUACACAAUGAAUUCACGUUGAGAUUGAGCACAUAUAAAAGGGGACUGUACAUUCUGUUAACUCAUUUUCUUAUAUCUUUCUGAUGAGUUUUAUGUAUGUUUCAUAAUUUUGUAUCAAUUUUCAUGAAUAAAUUUCCAUUAUUGAUAUAUC